CUCUCUGGAGAUACCUGGAUACAGGAGCCGAAGGUGCAACAUACUUAUGUAUGAAUCUCUCAGGCAAAAGGACAGAGAA
rnacentral:ncRNA from 1 species